GGACUACUGGGGUUUCUAAUCCUGUUUGCUCCCCACGCUUUCGUGCAUGAGCGUCAGUGUUAUCCCAGGAGGCUGCCUUCGCCAUCGGUAUUCCUCCACAUCUCUACGCAUUUCACUGCUACACGUGGAAUUCUACCUCCCUCUGACACACUCUAGCCGUGCAGUCACCAAUGCAAUUCCCAGGUUAAGCCCGGGGAUUUCACAUCGGUCUUGCACAACCGCCUGCGCACGCUUUACGCCCAGUAAUUCCGAUUAACGCUUGGACCCUACGUAUUACCGCGGCUGCUGGCAC
rnacentral:misc_RNA from 1 species